rfam:Stenotrophomonas maltophilia SKK35, WGS project CALN01000000 data, contig: 334
UUCAAUGGCGGCCGGUGCGUGGGGAUCGACAGAUCCGCCAGGCCUUCUUCUCGAUGGAAGUUCGUUUGCCUUGGUACGCCAACCCGCACCGUCCGCCACCUUC